UACGAGGGGGGCGAGCGUUGUUCGGAAUUAUUGGGCGUAAAGGGUGCGUAGGCGGUUUGGUAAGUCUCGUGUGAAAUCUCCGGGCUCAACUCGGAGCCUGCACGAGAAACUGCCGGGCUUGAGUGUGGGAGAGGUGAGUGGAAUUCCUGGUGUAGCGGUGAAAUGCGUAGAUAUCAGGAGGAACACCGGUGGCGAAGGCGGGUCUCUGGGCAGUAACUGACGCUGAGGAGCGAAAGCGUGGGGAGCGAACAGG
rnacentral:rRNA from 1 species